rnacentral:rRNA from 1 species
GAUGAACGCUGGCGGCGUGCUUAACACAUGCAAGUCGAACGAGAAGUGAAGACGGAAACCUUCGGGCGGAAGGCUUUAUUUCGAGUGGCGGACGGGUGAGUAACGCGUGGGUAACCUGCCUCAUACAGGGGGAUAACAGUUGGAAACGACUGUUAAUACCGCAUAAGACCACAGCACCGCAUGGUGCGGGGGUAAAAACUCCGGUGGUAUGUGAUGGACCCGCGUUCGAUUAGCCAGUUGGCGGGGUAACGGCCCACCAAAGCGACGAUCGAUAGCCGAUCUGAGAGGAUGACCGGCCACAUUGGGACUGAGACACGGCCCAAACUCCUACGGGAGGCAGCAGUGGGGAAUAUUGCACAAUGGGGGAAACCCUGAUGCAGCGACGCCGCGUGAGUGAAGAAGUAUUUCGGUAUGUAAAGCUCUAUCAGCAGGGAAGAAAAUGACGGUACCUGAGUAAGAAGCCCCGGCUAACUACGU